rnacentral:rRNA from 1 species
CCUACGUGGGACAGCAGUGGGGAAUAUUGCACCCUGGGGGAAACCCUGAUGCAUCGCCGCCGCGUGCGUGCAGCAGUAAUUCGUUACGUAACGCUCUAUCAGCAGGGAAGCAACUGACGGUACCUGAGUACGAAGCCCCAGCUAAAUCCGUGCCAGCAGCCGCGGUAAUACGUCGGGGGACACAGUUCUCCGGAUUUCCUGGGUGUAAAGGGGGCGUAGACGGUUCGCCAAGUCUGGAGUGAAAUGCCGCAGCUUAACUGCGGAACUGCUUUGGAAACUGGCGAACUAGAGUGCGGGAGAGGUAAGCGGAAUGCCUAGUGUAGCGGGGAAAUGCGUAGAUAUCACGCAGAACUCCGAUUGCGAAGGCAGCAUACCGGCGCUCAACUGACGCUGAGGCACGAAAGCGUGGGGAUCGAACAGGAUUAGAUACCCUAGUAGUC